rfam:Lingula anatina scaffold908, whole genome shotgun sequence.
GGUUCCGUAGUGUAGUGGUUAUCACGUCUGCUUUACACGCAGAAGGUCCUGGGUUCGAUCCCCAGCGGAACCA